UCUAAACUGUUUCCGUAUUCUGCCAAUACGUUUGGUCGGUCCCCGUUCCUUUCGUCGUCUCCGUCGUUCCCACAUGGGCCAGGCCCAACGAACAUGCACCCUUUGGUCAACCAAUACGUCUGGUCCUUCAUCCGGCUCUUCAGUCGUUGCUUUGUCAAAACUGUCCCCGCAGCCAACCCCACCGACACAGAUCCCCGCCGCCCCUCUCCCAUCACCACACCGCCCGCUCCCGGGCUCCCUCAUCCUCCUCUCCGCCUCCGGUCGGAGGCAUCGGCGCAUCGGCAGUCGUCGGCGUCGUCUACCAUGAACGGCAGCAUAUUCCAGAUCGGCAUCCGCCCGUCGGUGGCGUCAUCCUACGUCGGCAUCCACCCGUCGCCGACGUCGACCAGCAUGUACUGCCGCUUCUGCAUCGGCAUCAAGAUCCUCGGCCGUCACUGCCUCCACCGUGCGGAUUCGCUCUCCAUCGCACGGAUCCGCCCGUCAUCGCCUGCACCUCGAUUGUCCUUGUCCUCCACCGCACCUUCGUAGAAACAUCCGCCUGUGCCGAGGCUGAUCUGCAGCCUCCAGGAUGUAGGGAAUCCCUCCUAGACUGGGCUGCUCGAAAAAUGACUCUGUCGUCCUCCUCCGAGCCGGGAAGACCCGCCCACGCCAAUGCACCUCGCCGGCGGUAUUAAGUACGAAGGAUAUGCGACUAUAUCAGGACCAACGCCCACGAAUGGUUGUGGUGAUCCGUCAGCAAAGUUAUUGCGUCCCUUCCAAGUUUCAGGUGGGAAGCAUAGGCAUCUGAACCUUCGGGUUGCUUCUCAGCUAAUAAAACAACAAGCUAUUCUUCAAUUCAGGAAAUUAGAGACCGGAGUAUUAAAAGUUGGGCCUAUCAUCCCAAUUCGACUUGACUUACACCAACCAUAUUUCAGACUUCUCUUUCCUAAGAAACUGUAAACGGUAUGGUGAAGUGCACAUGAAUUCUGAUCAUGCACCUAUUAUAACAGAAGACUGUAACAUAUAAUCUUCUAGAGCACUUGUAAAUAAAAUAGUUGCCGGGUGUUAAUCGUUGCAGGUUCAAAAUUUCACACUAUUGACAACUUUGUAUGGUUAAGGAAUUAUUUUCCAAUUGUUUGCACUUUUUAAGGAGAAUGACUUUGAUUACUUAUGAUAGAUGCUCUGCUGGUAAGUUUCUCUGGACCAAGAAAAUAAAUUCUUCUAGCAACACCAAUUCCACGUAAGUUGUCAAAUACUAUUUAAUUCUAUUAAUAUUGCAGGUUAUGAUGCUACUACUUUUUAAGUUUCAGUAUAGGUCAAAUAGUACUUUUUAAAUUUGAGCAUAGGUUAUGUCUUUGUUUUUUUAGGAUUCUACUACUUUUUAAGUUCGAUUAUAUGUUAAAUAUGAACUAAUGUGGACGUUUAUAUCAUUUAUUAAUCUGAUCUUUUUCCAUGGCAGGCAUCCAUAAUGCCAAGAAGAAAAAGUUUGGGGCCGUAGCAGGAAGAUACUUACAUGGAUGUUCUUGCUGCAUUAAUAGCCGACUAACAUAGGCAGUGGCGGCGCUACGGGUGGGCCAUACUGGGCCAUGGCCCACCCUUUCCUGGCUACUUUCCCUUAAAUUUUGGCUUAAAUUUGGGCCAUCAGCAACAAAUAGUUUAUUUUCGACCCACUUUCUGCUUACCGGCCCAGUCUUUAUUUUGGUGGUGCUCCGCCACUGAACAUAGGUGUAUGUACUACUGUGAAUGCAGGAGAGCAAGCGUCAAGCAUAAUAUUUCACUUUUCGGAGCUGAAGAGAAGACGACCAGAGACAUGAAUCUGGCAACGUAGAAGUCUUGAGAAAAUAACAAGAGAGGUGUUGUACAAGGUGACCAAGAAAGGAAGCAGAAAGUCGACUAGGGACAGGAUUUUUCCCACUUAAAUCAGAGGUACAAAGUCAAGUUUCCCUUGCUCCAUUCUAUAAUUGCUUCACUAUAUAUGAUCUACUGCAAUACUAGGGAUAUUAAUUUGUGAUGUGUAGAGAUGAAACCACUAAUUGCGUAUGAAUUGCUUCAGCUACUAUUCAGUUCCCUUUUCUCCCUUUCUUUAUCAACUUCAGUCAUAAAUACAUGGUGAGGUAUUUGUUGUUACUUAUGCUCUGUUCAGUCAGAAAUACAUGCGGAGUUAUUCUACAUGAUGUGCCCUGAUUUCUUACUUUCCAUGUAUUUAUUUCCUGGGGGCUUAUCAACCUUUUGCCAAUGAAUUGGCAAUAUCUAUGGCUGCACUUAAUAGUUGUUAUGUAGGCCAAUUGCCUCAUGGACCGAUAUGCUAUUCGACAAGAUGUGCCCUCAUUUCUUAUUUUCCAUGUAUUUAACACUUGAUGUGUAUCCAAUUUAUUGAAUCACUUCUGAUUUUUGUAUCUCAGUUCAAAUUUUCUCUUUUUUUUGCUAAUUAUGAUGUAAGUUUCUGAGAGUUGGCUGUGAUGCACCGAUUUCAAAUCAAUAAAAAGGAGGUAAUCUAUAAUAACCUUGUGAGCAGAGGUAAUUAUCUCUGUCUCUUUCACAUGAUGUAUUUAAGUUCUACUGUAUUUUGAAGCCAGUCAUGUAUGUCUCUUGGAGUGCUGUUAGUAAUGACUUAGUAACGAUUUACGCUUAACCAUUUUACAAUAUGGGAUGGAACUUUGUGCAAGUUUUAGAUGAUUUACUUUUCUUUUGGUCCAUUAUGAGGUGUGAAGUGGUAAAGAUCAACUAUUCUCACUUCUAUGCAUGACUUCUGGAGAGGUUACUUUCUUGCUCUCUUAAGUUUGAUAAUCUUACAGUAUUUGGUAGAUGGGCACUAUGCAUUCAAAUAUCAUCAUUAUGUUACUUAAUAGUAUUCCGCAUUCAACCUUCGUACAUUAUAAGAUUGCAUUCUGCAGUGACAUACUGACAUGUUGUUUAGAAGACUGUCAUUCUCCUGCUCCAAACAAAUGCCUUGCGCAGUUUAAAUAAUUCAAUCUAUGCGCCUGGGUUAAGCAUGUAGCCAUGUUUUCGCAAAGGUUGAUUAUACAAUUUAAAUGCUUUAUUCCUAUGCAAUAUAGUUAAAUAAAUCUGUCUGGCGUUUAGGAGCAUUUCUGCUCGAGAACAAGCGAACCAAGCGUAUAUUGGUGUCUAUAUUAUAAGCUCUAUUUUAUGUUUGGAAGCUAGAAGCUCAUAUACUCAUAUUCUGGAUUCAAUAAUUAGUUGAACUGGUUAUUUAACUGCUGCAAGACACAGAUAUGUUCAGCUUUCAAUUUUGAAAAAAAAAUCCUAUCUUGUUUGACCCUACUGGGUUGGCAAUCCUGCCAAGUUCCUAAGAAAGCUUACGGAGGAGGAGAUUGCCUUCAUCUCCCAAUCAGCAACCAACUACUUCAACUUAGCUCAAGUUCAUGCAGCCGAGAAUGAAGAGCUUCAAUGAGAUUGAGCUUGAGAAGAAGCUGAGGAAGAAGUUUGCUCACAAAGACGAGGAGUACGACUCGAUGCUUGGAGUGGUCCGUGAGAUACCUCCGCAGCUCAUCCUUACUGACAAUCCUCCCAGAUAAAUCUAAGGCGACUGCCGUUGCUCAUUGAACGUUUUUCUCUUGUCAGGCCCCUGUUGGGAUGCCUUGUGCUGUUACAUGGUGACUUGGAACAUUUGACGUAUGUCUGGUGUUGUUCUCUGUUUUUGCCCCAAUAAGAUUUGGGUCGAGCGUUGUUGUAGGAUCGACCAUAUAUGGUACAUCUCUUUUCCAUUGAAAUGAAGAGAAUCAUGGUUUCACUUUUGCACAUUCGGAAUGUAGUGCACUGUGCACAUUAUUGAAGCAGUGAUGUUUUGCACCGAAAGGUGCCUGUA